rnacentral:piRNA from 1 species
UAGUAAAGGGUCUUGUUGCUAUUAAAUACU